GACACUUUGGCCGAGUGGUUAAGGCGAUCGCCUGCUAUAUUUAGUAGUUCAGCGGUUGGGAUCUCCCGCGUGUGUUCGAAUUGCACAGGUGUCG